rnacentral:lncRNA from 1 species
CUAUCUUUUAAGGUGGACUUUUGCUAACAGUUUUUUUUUUUUUUAUUGAAGUAUAAUUUACAAUAUAGUGUUAGUUUCGAGUGUAUAGUGAAAUGAUUCAAUUAUACAUAUAUAUGUACACACACAUAUUCUUUUUCAGAUUCUUUUCCAUUAUAAGGUUAUAAUAAGAUAUUGAGUAUAGAUCUCCUUUUUAUAUCUUUGGUUUUUGUUGUUGUUGUUUUGGCCACACCAAUGACAUGUGGAAGUUACCGGGGCAGGGAUGGAAUCCAAGCCACAACUGUGGCCCAAGCCACUGCAGUGAAAAUGCCAGGUCCUUAACCUGCUGUGCUACACAAGAACUCCUGAGUACGGAUCUCUUCUUUAUUUUGUUUUUUGGUUGUUGCUGUUUUUUGCUUUCUUAGGGCCACACCCGCAGUUCUCAGGCUAGGGCUCUAAUUGGAGCUGCAGCUGCCGUCCUUUGCCACAGCAACUGGGGAUCCAAGCUGCGACUGCGACCUACACCACAGUUCACAGCAACACCGGAUCCUUAACCCACUGAGCGAGGCCAGGGAUCAAACCCACAACUUCAUGAUUCCUAGUAAGAUUUAUCUGGCGUUGUUGUGGCUGUGGCACUGGCCAGCCACAACAUAUGCUGCAGGUGCAACCCUACAAAGACAAAAGUAAAAAAUAAAAAAAAUAAAUAAAUGAAGCAAAACAAAAGCCACUAGAGUUACAGUGAUGGUACAUAACACACAGCCUCCACGUAGUCUGGGAAGUACCAGUGAGGGAAGCCAGCAAAUGUCACAACGAUGGUGACCGCAGUGGCAUUUAUAACAGCAGACAAAGUACAAGUUCAAAGUACACAUGAGAGGGCCAGCGAGAGGGCCAAUGUUAAAGAGGGAUUUAUUGGCGCGCACAGUAAUUAAAAAUGAUAACCACGAAGCCUCUCUGGCAGCCCAGAAAACAAGAAGGAAAUGAUGCCGACAUGAAAACAGCAGAGACUCACAGACAUAGAAAACAAAUUUACAGUUACUCAAGGGGAAAGGGAUAAAUCAGGAGUUGAUGAGUAGCAGACACACACUAUUACAUAUAAAACAGAUAAACAACAAGGACCUACUGUAUAGCACAGAAACCUACAUUCAAUAUCUUGAGAUAAGCUAUGGUGGAAAAGAAUCAGGAAAAGAACAUAUAUACAACAUAUAUAUAUAAAACUAAAUCACUUUGCUGGAUAGCUGAAACAUUGUAAAUCAACUAUAUUUCAAUUAAAAACAAACCAAAAAAAAGAGAAAACGAACCCAAACUGCUUUAUCCACUGUUGGAAAGUGGUUCCAAUUUUUGAAAAUGAUGUGAUUGCUCUUUAACAGCAGGAAUGCUGCGUGUGGACUGCAGGAAUGAAUGUAGGCAAGAGAGAAAAUUCAAGCCGUGAUGACACCCAUACUGAGUGCUUAUUAGACGCCACCCGGUCAAGCAUCUGGCCCACUUUUAAGUUCACUGAACCUUACAACGACCCUAUCAGGUGGGACUUUCAGGCCUAUUUUGUAAUAAUAAUAAUAAUAAUAAUAAUAAUAACAAUAGCAACACCGGAUCCUCAACCUACUGAGCCAUCAGGGAAUUCCUUAGGCCCAUUUUAAAGACAUGGAAACCGAGGCUUAGCAAGGAAAAGCCAUCAGCCAAGGCCCUAUCAGCAAGAAGAAGAGAUGGGAUUUGAACACACAACUUUUUUUUUUUUUUUUGCUUUUUAGGGCCACACUUGAAGCAUAUGGAGGUUCCCAGGCCAGGGGUCUAAUUGGAGCUGUAGCCACCGGCCUACACCAGAGCCACAGCAACGCAGGAUCUGAGCCGUGUCUGCAACCCACACCACGGCUUACCACAAUAUCGGAUCCUUAACUCACUGAUCGAACACAGGGAUCAAACCUGCAUCCUCACGGAUACUUGUUGGGUUCGUUAAUCACUGAGCCACAAUGGUAACUCCUGAACUCACAUCUAACUGACCCAGAACAUGAGCACUUACAUGCUGUGGGACCCAUGGAGCCCAAACUCAAACUCGGAUAACCUUUGGUGCCAAUGAGGGUUCUUGAAAAGCUCCCUAAACACCCAUGUGUUGCCACUUUAAAAAUGUACAACAGCCUUUGAUAUGCAUCUCCCAAAGCUCCACUGCUUAUAAGAACUUGACAAUGAGAGAACAGUUCUCUGGAGAAAAAUAAAACUAUUGAAACAAAAUCUCAACAACAGCAUUCUCUUCUCUGCGCUCAAUUCAUUCCCAUGACACACAAAUGCCUCGCCUCAUUGAAACCUCAGUGCUUAUCUGAAUAAGGCAGAGAGGUUUCCUCACACCAUUCAUAUGGCUUGAGGACUGAUCGGCCAAGAUCUUGGCACAUCUGUUUCUGCUGACAAGAACACCAGCCUGGACCAAACUCAAUUCAGCAGCCCCAUGCCCUGCUACUUACAAACCAUGGGGUAAGGCUCAGCCCAGAUUUGACAAGGAAAUAGAUUACAGAAGCAAUGAAGUAGAAUGAAUGAUCUGAGCAGCAGGACAAAUGUACUCGACCCCGGUCUGGCAAAACUGCACCAUUAUUACUAACUCUCAAUUCUUUCAGAACAGCCUGUCACAAUCAUAUUUGCCCAAUUCCUGCCCAACAUUUAGUGAACAAAAUCUGAAAAAGAAUAUCUAACAUCGGGGGAGGGAGUGAGAUGGAUUGGGAGCUUGGGGUUAGUAGAUGCAGACUACUGCCUUUGGAAUGGAUUAGCAAUGAGAUUCUGCUGUGUAGCACUGGGAACUAUGCCUCGUCACUUAUGAUGGAGCAUGAUAAUGUGAGAAAAAAGAAGGUAUACAUGUAUUUGUAACUGGGUCACCAUGCUAUACAGUAGAAAAUUGACAGAACACUGUAAACCAGCUAUAAUGGAAAAAAUAAAAAUCAUUAUUAAAAAAAAAUACCUAACAUUGCCUCUUGUCUAACUUUUUGACAGCCUCCACAAUAGAUGAAUCCUAGGUGCUUCCCAUGGUGUAAUUUGAAACAACUCAAAUUGAAAAGUCAACUUCUACUACUGUGUAGAAAUUAACAUUUUUUUUUUUCUUUUUAAGGCCACACCUGCAGUAUAUGGAAGUUCCCAGGUUAGGGGUCGAAUCUGAGCUGCAGCUGCCAGCCUACACUACAGCCACAGCAAUGCCAGAUCCUUAACCCACUGAGCAAGGCCAGGGAUCAAAUCUGAGUUCUCAUGGAUAUUACUUGGUUUCUUAGCCCCCUGAGCCACAAUGGGAACUUCUAACACAAUAUUUUAAAUCAACUGUACUUCAAUGAAAUAAUUUUUUUUUUUCCUUUUUCAGCUGCAUCCAUGACAUGUGGAAGUUCCUGGGCCAGGGACUGAAUCUGAGCCACAGCUUUGAUCUAUGCCACAGCUGCAGCAACACCAAAUCUCCAACCCACUGGGCUAGGCCAGGGAUUGAAACUGCACCACCACAGAGAAAAUGCCGGCCUCUUAACCCACUGCACCACUGCAGGAACUCUAAUAAAAUAAAUUUUUAAAAAACUAAAUAAAAGUAACAAAAAAGAUUUUUUUUUUAAUUUAAAAGAAAAAAAGCCAAUUUCUUGGGUAAAAAAUGUAUAAACAAAAAGUCCUUUUUUGAAACAAGCUUUAUUUUCAAUGCUAUUUAGUUCUAAAAGCCUGCCUAUUUGUUUUUCCUCGCACCAGGUUACCUACAAGUCAGGAUUUCGAAAACCACAACAAACAAAUCCAACACCUGUGGAAUCUGAGCCCUGACCACCAGCAUGUCAUUUUGGCAAUUAAACCAGGACUUCCUUCCAAGAAGCUUCUGUGCAAAAUAU